AUGAUUUUGCUGAAUUGUAUCAUCAUUCAGAUCCUGUGGGCUUUCUGUGGGAAGAGACAAGUUUCGGCAUGUGAAGAGCCCCCUGACAUAGAUUUUGGAGAGAUUGUUAAUGAUGAGAAAUUGGAAUAUAGGGAAAGUGACAAAGUGCAGUACAAGUGUAAUUCUGGAUACAGUUUGACAGGACCUGAAUGGAUCACCUGCAGAGGGAAAACCUGGACACCUGCACCACAAUGUCUGGGUAAGUGGAACUGCUUCUUUGUUCUUUCCUGCAGGUUGGUUCUUUAGUAGAGAUGAAUCCAAAUCAAACUCAUGAAUCCAAACUCUUCAGCUUUGGGGACAGGGGUGGAGGUACCAGAAUUCAGAGCAGAUUGAUCUCUCUGGUGGACUGGACUUGAUCCUUGAAUCCAAAUAUCUCCAGAUCUCUGAUGUAAGGCUCAAGACAUAUCUAGUCCCUAAGAAUGGAUUAAUGAGCUCUUUGCAGAUCACCAAAUGGUUUCAAAUAUGAAAUUUGAAUUAGGUCUCUUUUAUAACAAGACAACAGUGCAUUCAGAUUUAUUUAUUUAUUUUCCAGAAGAGAGAGAUUAUCAAAAUUCAGGGUUUUUGUUUAAAAAAAAAACCCCUAAACGUGAGCAAUGAUACAAGACCAGAAUACUGGAGGCAUGGUUAAAAUUAUCCAUAGCAAAGAUUAUGGAGAUGAAACACCAUUGCAUCAUCAUAAGAAAGAGAAGAGAGCUGUAGUAUUAGGCAAAACGGGCAAACAGUAUUUAUCAAGACACUCAUUGUACUGACCUCAUCUGAGGUGAUAAACUCCAUAAGGCUAUAUGUUGGAGAAGGGCCUCUCCCCAUUUAUCAUGGCAUAUUUCACUACUAAAAAUCUUCACCUGAAAGCAUUAAAAAGCCAUUGAUGGUGAUAUAACCAGAUGUGCUACAUAAAGUUAAGGAUGUGCAUUAUAUGUACAUUCAGCCAUGGUGAGUAAAGAAGUGAGAUACACAACAUACAUGCAAAGUUCCAACCAAAUAUUGUUUGUAUUUCACAUAUGCAUUACUGUAUUUGGCAUGGAAGUGAUUAAAAUUUAAAAACUUCAUUGGAAAGUCCAUGAAUUCUGUACUAAUUAUUGUUGCUAGAAAGAAUUUUGGAUUGGUUUUCUUUCAAGGCAGUUUAAUAAACAAAACAGCUGUUACCCAGCUAAUGUAGCCCUGUAAUGUUCAGGAAGCUGAUCAUAUGUGAUAUUUUUAUAGACACUGCAUAAGAGGGAGUCUUAGUCGAUGGAUCUUCACUUGCAAAUUAAGUUGACUUAAGCUAAUCUGCAUCUACACUACAUUUUCCUUAAAUUGACUUAGGAAGCAGCUUAAGUUGAUUUAAGGAAAAUGAAAGUCGACUUUAUAAAACCUAAUAUAAAGUUGACUUUACCGACUAAGUCGACUUUAUUAAGUCGACUUAGCCAGUGUAGACGCCAGUUAGUCCUAAAUUGACUUAAAGGGCUCCAGGGCUCCCCCACUGCCCUCCCUGCCAGGGUGGCUGGCACAGGCAGAGCC
rnacentral:lncRNA from 1 species